rnacentral:rRNA from 1 species
UGGGGAAUUUUGGACAAUGGGCGAAAGCCUGAUCCAGCAAUGCCGCGUGUGUGAAGAAGGCCUUCGGGUUGUAAAGCACUUUUGUCCGGAAAGAAAUCCUUGGCUCUAAUACAGUCGGGGGAUGACGGUACCGGAAGAAUAAGCACCGGCUAACUACGUGCCAGCAGCCGCGGUAAUACGUAGGGUGCAAGCGUUAAUCGGAAUUACUGGGCGUAAAGCGUGCGCAGGCGGUUUGCUAAGGCCGAUGUGAAAUCCCCGGGCUCAACCUGGGAACUGCAUUGGUGACUGGCAGGCUAGAGUAUGGCAGAGGGGGGUAGAAUUCCACGUGUAGCAGUGAAAUGCGUAGAGAUGUGGAGGAAUACCGAUGGCGAAGGCAGCCCCCUGGGCCAAUACUGACGCUCAUGCACGAAAGCGUGGGGAGCAAAACAGGAUUAGAUACCCUGGUAGUCCACGCCCUAAACGAUGUCAACUAGUUGUUGGGGAUUCAUUUCCUUAGUAACGUAGCUAACGCGUGAAGUUGACCGCCUGGGGAGUACGGUCGCAAGAUU